CGCGGCCUAUCAGCUUGUUGGUGGGGUGAUGGCCUACCAAGGCGACGACGGGUAGCCGGCCUGAGAGGGCGACCGGCCACACUGGGACUGAGACACGGCCCAGACUCCUACGGGAGGCAGCAGUGGGGAAUCUUGCGCAAUGGGCGAAAGCCUGACGCAGCGACGCCGCGUGAGGGAUGACGGCCUUCGGGUUGUAAACCUCUUUCAGCCCUGACGAAGCGAAAGUGACGGUAGGGGCAGAAGAAGCACCGGCCAACUACGUGCCAGCAGCCGCGGUAAUACGUAGGGUGCAAGCGUUGUCCGGAAUUAUUGGGCGUAAAGAGCUCAUAGGUGGCCUGUCGCGUCGGCUGUGAAAACUCGGGGCUCAACUCCGAGCUUGCAGUCGAUACGGGCAGGCUAGAGUGCGGCAGGGGAGACUGGAAUUCCUGGUGUAGCGGUGAAAUGCGCAGAUAUCAGGAGGAACACCGGUGGCGAAGGCGGGUCUCUGGGCCGAUACUGACACUGAGGAGCGAAAGCGUGGGGAGCGAACAGGAUUAGAUACCCUGGUAGUCCACGCCGUAAACGUUGGGCGCUAGGUGUGGGAUCCCUUCCACGGGUUCCGUGCCUCAGCUAACGCAUUAAGCGCCCCGCC
rnacentral:rRNA from 1 species